GCUUAUUCAAAAGGGGAAUUUCUAGAGUCAGAGAAGUUUAAGAUCAAGAAGAUCAAAUAGUUUCAAAUAGUUAAUAAAGAGUAGUGAGCGCUCGCUCUUUCUUUAUGGGGCACAUCUCCUAUUCCUUCUGAAAAGAAAGUCAGUACCUAUACUCUAGACUGACUUCUUACCUUACCUAAGAAUGAUUUGAUUUAUAUAGUCUCCGAUAUCGG
rnacentral:misc_RNA from 1 species